UACGGAGGGUGCGAGCGUUGUCCGGAAUCACUGGGCGUAAAGGGCGCGUAGGCGGCCUGAUAAGUAGGGGGUGAAAUCCUGCGGCUUAACCGCAGGGCUGCCUUCUAAACUGUCAGGCUUGAGCACAGUAGAGGCAGGUGGAAUUCCCGGUGUAGCGGUGGAAUGCGUAGAGAUCGGGAGGAACAUCAGUGGCGAAGGCGGCCUGCUGGGCUGUUGCUGACGUUGAGGCGCGACAGCGUGGGGAGCAAACAGG
rnacentral:rRNA from 1 species